GACUUACUUAAGGUCUGUCUAACCGCGUCAUUCUGGGAGCAUUGGUCACAAUUCCUUCCAAGGAAGCAAUUGUACACCAAGUCCCCAAAACUUUGGUCUUGAAUGAAUCCAUCAAGCUCAGGCUUGCUUGCUUUGAUAAGGCUGAAGGUCGGAAUCUGAGCCUCGGAAUAUCCUGAAGGACAG